GGAUCCAAAGUUCCGAACGCCGUUUCUCGUUUGCGUCUGAACCGUAACAGUGAUGUGAACAGCAGCAGAAAUCCCUUUGACUACAUCUGCCUUUUACUGGUCUCUUGACAUUAGAGCCUCUUGACUACACUCAGCUAAAUAUAGCCGCUCUGCUUCCACCGAGCAGCUUCUCGGCUAAUGUGGGCCGCCAGGCAGUGGUGGGCCUCGGUGUGAAACCGUGACACGCAUCCAGCAGAGACGCUCUCAUCGGGCGCGCGGCGUCGGAGGCUCACGCUCAUACCGGUCCGCAUGACUUCCCACACUGAUGCUCAGAGAUAAGCUUCUCAGAGAUCAUCAUGUCUGCAAACGUUGAUCAUUUCCGCCUCAAUCAGACGCUCCGAGCGCCGUCUGCGUCUAGAACGCCAUCAAACAUCUGGCCGGUAGGUAAGCCAUCAAACCGGCACGAACCUGCAGCUGCUCUGACAAAACGCACGCCGCCAGCACGUCACUUCUGUUCUCUCUGCUGUCAGCAUCCCGGCGAGGGGGCGGGGCACAGCUGUGUCACCGGACCGGCGCUUUCAUCCCUUCAUUUGUGCGCUCUGCUAUGCACGCCGCGUCAUCCGUGUGGCGAGCAUUCAUCCGAGAUGCAUGCAGUCACGCAGACGUGCAGCGUGUGCUCUCAAACAAACCCGCUAAGACGAAUGGAAACUAUAAUCUGCAGAAACUAGAUUUACUGUUGGGAUUAAAAAUGACGUCAAAAUAAAAGCAUGAGCUCCUCAAACGCUUCUCCAGAAUCUCAGCAGGAAUCCAAAGCCGCCUCGUGGUUCUGGAUGGAGUCCAUCAGCACCACAGACCAAACGUUGGGAUGCGGAUGCGUCUCACCUCAGAUAAAUCAUGGUUCUGUGACGCUCUCCUGUCAGGAACUCGUCCUCCGUGUAAUUAUCGGGACAGAAGAUUCCUCCCUGUGGUCUGCUGGGUUCACUGAAGAGAGUUCCUGCUUUUUGCUGAGAGAAACGAGGUUUUUAAACACUUUUCAGUCAGUCUGAGAGCAGAGCGUCAGGGAUGUACCACCGCGGUCCUGAGGAGAGGGGAGAUGAAGCAGGAAGAGGCCGGCUCUGGGAGGAGGUCAAGUAGGGUCAAAUGGGAAAUAAACCACAAGAAAAAAGAAGUUUAUGGAAUAAAUCCAUUUGAUGCACCAACAGCUGGACAGUAAAUCUUUCUUUAUGUGACAGAAUACAACCGCUGUGAGACGCCACACCCAGCAGGGAUUUGAACCAGAACAUUCUCGCUGUGAGGAGAGACGGCUAACCACUGCUCCAUAGUGCAGCCCAAAAAGAUAUAACAAAGUGAAUCUCUAACUGACACAUGAGGUGUCGUCUGAGCGUCAAAAGGUCGGUGUCCUGACAAACAGAGACUCCUCGAAAUCUUUUUUCUCUUUUUUUAAAGAAUAAUUCCAAUUAAAAUUGUGUUUUUGAUGAAGGAGAACAUUUAUUAAACACUUUAAGAUCAAAAUUGCAUUUCUAAGUAUUUUUUAGGAAGAAAUUGUGUUUAAGAAAAGAUCAGGGUGGGAAAGGAGGCGGGGUUUCUCCACUCUGGAGUCCCGCCCACAUCUCAGAGGUGAAUUUCAAAUGAACUCCUGCAGAAACUGUAUCCUAGAAAACAGCUUUUUUUUAUUUUGGCUGAGAAAAUUGAUCAAAGGAUGAUUGGAGUGUGAAUUUAACAAAAUAAAAGCUUCUUCUUGUUUAUUUUUUAGCUAAUAUUGUUCCAGUCCUGAAAUAAAUGAGCAAAAGUUCUUCUUUCAGUUUUUUCUCGGCUCUCCUCCAGAUAAAAGUGGAACCGUUUAACCGUUUCUGUCUUUUCAUCUUCUGCUCAGGAAUAAAACGAUUCUUCGUUUGUUCUGAAAGCCGCACUUUUCAAACGGCGUUCCCAGAAUCCCCAUCUCCCUUUGAAGUCCCCCUUCCCUCCGGAGGCGCAGCGCCCCACGUCUGUUUCAGGCCGAGCCGUCGUUCACGUUCGACUGGGCGUUGAUGAAGCUCCGCCUGACGGAUCUCCAAUCAGAGACUGACCGUCGUCCUCCUGGCUUCUGCUUCAUCAUCAGUUUGUGACGGAACCAGAAACUUCUGCUUCAUUUCCAAACCAGGAUCGCUCCAGAUCUUCAAAAAAUUAGAUUCCUGCUCCUCAAACCUUCAGGAGAUCUUUAUCUAAACCAAAUAAAUCACAACCGGUUUGAGCAAAAACAGAGAAACUUGUUUUUUGUUCUGGCUUUUGGAGGAACCUCAAAAAGUUUCAAAGUUAAGAAUCAAAAGAUUAAAAAACUGCUAUGAAGAAAUCUUCAAUGUGAGAAAAGUCCAGAAAAAAACAUCUUUAUGCUCUAAAACAAUCUAGAAUUAUGAUACAUUUACUGAUUUGAAAUUCUUAUUAUUCCAAAAAAGAUGUAAAAAAAAAACAAGGAGGUUCUAAAGACAAAAUAUGAAGACUUUCCAAAAUAAAACAUUAACAUGAGAAAAAAAA